GCUCCCCUUCUCUUUAUAUUACAAGAAAUUAGCAACCGACGCAACGCAUUCACUCCACCGCAUUCGAGAAGAGAGAGAGAGAGAGAGAGAAGAGGGAAGAUGGAUAAGGACGACUCCGCUGGCCCUGCUUCACUGAGACCAUCGAAGUUACGGUACCCGCUGAGAUCUGCUGCCAGGCCGAAGGAGGCGAAUCCGGCGAUCACGGAUGCAUCAAAUUCCACCUCAAAGAGUGAAUUAGGGACUUUGGAUUCUCCCCUUUUUUUUCUUGAUUUGAAGAAGAAAUGAGGCCAAAAGUUAUGGGAUCGAUAGUUUUCAGUGCUUAUAUAGGAAUCGGGGCGCUUGUGAUAUUGGAUAUUGCCAAUGCUGCCAUUUUGGGAAGAAGCAUGGUGUCAGUUGAUGGAUGGGAAUGUUGGAUUUAUACCAGAGGAUACUGGAAAGCCAAUAAUAACUGCGUCACCAUAUGUUUGAAUUUUUUCUCAAAGAAAAAGCUAUUCAGGUUGGUCAGUGAAAAUUCUUUUACAGAGAUA